GACGAACGCUGGCGGCGCGCUUAACACAUGCAAGUCGAACGCUGAAACCAGAUGCUUGCAUUUGGUGGAUGAGUGGCGAACGGGUGAGUGACACGUGGGUGAUCUGCCCUACACUUUGGGAUAAGCCUGGGAAACUGGGUCUAAUACCGAAUAUUCACAUCAUCGUAGGGGUGGUGUGGAAAGCUUUAUGCGGUGUGGGAUGAGCCUGCGGCCUAUCAGCUUGUUGGUGGGGUAAUGGCCUACCAAGGCGUCGACGGGUAGCCGGCCUGAGGGGGUGUGCGGCCACAUUAGGACUGAGACACGGCCCAGACGCCGACGGGAGGAAGAAGUGGGGAAUAUUGCACAAUGGGCGCAAGCCUGAUGCAGCGACGCCGCGUGGGGGAUGACGGCCUUCGGGUUGUAAACUCCUUUCGCUAGGGACGAAGCCUUUUUAGGUGACGGUACCUGGAGAAGAAGCACCGGCUAACUACGUGCCAGCAGCCGCCGUAA
rnacentral:rRNA from 1 species